AGACCCCUUGAAGACGACGAGGUAGAUAGGUUGGAGGUGGAAGUGCAGCAAUGCAUGGAGCUGACCAAUACUAAUCGGUCGAGGGCUUAUCCUAAUAACUA
rnacentral:rRNA from 1 species